GAUGAAGAACGCAGCGAAAUGCGAUAAGUAAUGUGAAUUGCAGAAUUCAGUGAAUCAUCGAAUCUUUGAACGCACAUUGCGCCCCCCAGUAUUCUGGCGGGCAUGCCUGUUCGAGCGUCAUUUCAACCAUCAAGCCCUGCUUGUGUUAGGGUCCUGCGGCUGCCCGCAGGCCCUGAAAACCAGUGGCGGGCUCGCUAGUCACACCGAGCGCAGUAGCACAUCUCGCUCAGGGCGUGCGGCGGGCUCCAGCCGUUAAAGCACCCACCUUUCGCAAGGUUGACCUCGGAUCAGGUAGGAAUACCCGCUGAACUUAAGCAUAUCAAUAAGCGGAGGA
rnacentral:misc_RNA from 1 species